GGCCCGGUCACUGGCGACC
rnacentral:snRNA from 1 species